AUUGAACGCUGGCGGAAUGCUUUACACAUGCAAGUCGAACGGCAGCACGGGGGCAGCCCUGGUGGCGAGUGGCGAACGGGUGAGUAAUACAUCGGAACGUGCCCGGUCGUGGGGGAUAACGUAGCGAAAGUUACGCUAAUACCGCAUACGAUCUGAGGAUGAAAGCGGGGGACCUUCGGGCCUCGCGCGAUCGGAGCGGCCGAUGUCGGGUUAGGUAGUUGGUGGGGUAAAGGCCUACCAAGCCGGCGAUCUGUAGCUGGUCGGAGAGGACGACCAGCCACACUGGGACUGGGCCACGGCCCAGACUCCUACGGGAGGCAGCAGUGGGGAAUGUUGGACAAUGGGCGCAAGCCUGAUCCAGCCAUUCCGCGUGCAGGACGAAGGCCUUCGGGUUGUAAACUGCUUUUGUACGGAACGAAAAGGCUCUGGCUAAUACCUGGGGCUCAUGACGGUACCGUAAGAAUAAGCACCGGCUAACUACGUG
rnacentral:rRNA from 1 species